rnacentral:rRNA from 1 species
GUAGGGAAUAUUGGGCAAUGGAUGCAAGUCUGACCCAGCCAUCCCGCGUGCCGGAAGAAGGCCCUCAGGGUUGUAAACGGCUUUUGACGGUGAAGAAUCGACAGGAUGCGUCCUGUUUUGACGGUAGCCGUUGAAUAAGCACCGGCUAACUCCGUGCCAGCAGCCGCGGUAAUACGGGGGGUGCGAGCGUUGUCCGGAGUUAUUGGGUUUAAAGGGUGCGUAGGCUGGAAGGUCAGUCAGCGGUGAAAAGCUGUCGCUUAACGAUAGUCUUGCCGCAGAUACUUCCUUUCUUGGAUGAGGAGGAGGCCACUGGAACGGAUGGUGUAGCGGUGAAAUGCAUAGAUAUCAUCCAGAACACCGAUUGCGAAGGCAGGUGGCUGUACCUUAAUCGACGCUGAUGCACGAAAGCAUGGGGAGCAAACAGGAUUAGAAACCCUUGUAGUCC